rnacentral:rRNA from 1 species
UACGAAGGGUGCAAGCGUUAAUCGGAAUUACUGGGCGUAAAGGGUGCGUAGGCGGUUAGUUAAGUCUGUUGUGAAAUCCCCGGGCUCAACCUGGGAAUGGCAAUGGAUACUGGCUGGCUAGAGUGUGUCAGAGGAUGGUGGAAUUCCCGGUGUAGCGGUGAAAUGCGUAGAGAUCGGGAGGAACACCAGUGGCGAAGGCGGCCUUCUGGACCAAUACUGACGCUCAUGCACGAAAGCGUGGGGAGCAAACAGG